rnacentral:lncRNA from 1 species
GUAAAAAUGCUGUAUAAACUGCAUGAUGUUUGCAGGCAGUUGUAGUUUUCCUGUCCAGCCCACAGCCACUGGACUGUAGGAAGGCGAAUAUGUUGUCCAGCCCAUUGCCAUGGGACCAUUUCUGUAAUUAAGGGUGUUCUCCUGUCCAGCCCUCUGCCACAGAACUCUCUUCACGGUAUGAAAGCCCCUAAUAAAACCACAGAUCUUAUUUGCUGGCUCUGGGUCUCUUCUUCAGCCUCUUGAACCUGGUGCCUUCCCUACUGAAGGUAAUAGGGGCUCAGCACAACAGAUCACCCACACACAGGCCACCUGCCUUCAGAAACCCAAUUCAAAUGGUCAUAAGCACCAAAAGAAACAGAUUUGCUCAGGUGACUAAAAUAAUCCAGGGAAUAAUCAGAUGGAGGAAUGUGGAUGUUAUCCCCAGGACUUGAUCUCCCCUAGUCCCUGACUCUGCCUUUCCCAUGUUGCCCUCACUACCGGGCAGACCCUUUCUACCAUGUCAAGAUCACUUUGGGAAUUCCAGGCUUCAACUCCACUAGCUCAGCAAUUCUACUUGGGAGAAAAUGUCUUCCCCAGCUGUUUUAGUCACAGCUCUGACAACUCAGUCUCAGUACCUGGUUUGAGUCAUAAGGCGUCACUGACAAAAUCACAACUGUCAGGGCUUGAGAUGUGUCAUUUGUCCUAUGUAUCAAACAGCAUAAGAAGAGUGGUGUUUCCCCAGAGGAAAUUGAGAUUCUGUUAUCAGUAAAAGGGGAAUGGCUGCUCAGGAGGCAAAAAAAACUUGGGUACCCUCCACCACCAAUCUACCAAAUCUGGAUUUGAAAGGCAUAGGACAGCAGACAGUCAGGACUAAGAGCAAGUCGCACCAAGAAAGAAGAAGAAAACUGAAAGGGAAAAUCAGAAAGCCCUCCUGAGGUCCAUUUCACCCACUCAGUCAUAAAAGAGCAGAAUUAAAUUAAGGCUGCUAAAAGUAGAGAAGGCACACCAUUGACCCAAUAUGAAGCCCUGACAAGGAGAUUUGUUGGGUUUUUUUGUGAGUACCCUCCUGAGCCAGAGGUGGAGUGUCUCCUCUUGGGUAGACAACUUUAGUGUGAUUCAUGUGUUUGAAUCACACAGCCUCCGAAGGCCACGUGUCUAGAAUAGCACCAAACAAUGAAAAAUGGCUCUAGAAACAUUUAUUGUUCCUUCAGCUUUUUCUAUCUCCCAAACGUAUAUUGAGACUAAUUUAUUAAUGUUAAGUCAUACGAUAAAUUCAUUCUGGGAGGAAAAGCAUUUCCAGGGAGUAACUAUACGCUCUCAUCACUUAUAGCUUUGUCCCCGCCUCAUCAUCCAGGGUGAUGAUUUUAAUCCAGACUUCUCCAUGUACUAACUGUGGAACCCUGGGCAAAACUGGCUCUCUAUUUGCUUAUCUUUCCAAAGGGGACUAUAAUAGUAUACCCUGCAGAGGUACACAUGGCUGUUAUUACUGUUUACGCAUUUGGGCUUCAUUUGGAGACAGUCUCAGAACUGAUCUUAUAGCGUAAGAUUAUAGAAUGAGCUUAUCAUAUAAGACAUACUUGCUCAUAGUAUUCCAAGAAAGUGCAACACACCAAUGCUUAAUAUUAGGAGUUUAGAAACUAAACUAGGAAUCAGAUUACUCCUGGCUCAGCCUGGGCCCUUGAACUAACCUCCACUGCAUAUUUUGUCCUCACAGCGUCCCCACAGCAGCUAUCCAGGCUUCCUAGGAAUAACACACAAUACUCCCUAUUCUCAAGAGAGUAGCUCUUUCCCCAAAAUCUUGAUGUACUCAGUCAGCUAAGAGGUACCUUGCAUGCUUUAAAAUUCCCACCUAUUACUUAUUUUUUUAGGUGACCAGUCUCUAAGGCAGAACAAAAAUUACUUGAGCGGGGAUUUAGACAGGGAUUCCAAGAAAAAAAAAAUUAGCUAAAUUGGGCAAGCCUAAAUGAUCUUUUAGUCAUUUGUUGUUUUUUUUUUUUAG